rnacentral:rRNA from 1 species
UACGUAGGGUGCAAGCGUUGUCCGGAAUUAUUGGGCGUAAAGAGCUCGUAGGCGGUUUGUCGCGUCGGCUGUGAAAACUCGGGGCUCAACCCCGAGCCUGCAGUCGAUACGGGCAGACUAGAGUGCGGUAGGGGAGACUGGAAUUCCUGGUGUAGCGGUGAAAUGCGCAGAUAUCAGGAGGAACAUCAGUGGCGAAGGCGGCUACCUGGCCCAAUACUGACACUCAGGUGCGACAGCGUGGGGAGCAAACAGG